CUUAUAAUAGUUUCUUUCAUCACUCACACAAGUUUCUAAACCUCUGAUAGCACGAAAUCGGUUUAUCCACACUUGAGAUCGGUCGAUCCUUGUCAUACCCAUCGAUCAAUCCAAAACCUGAGAUUGGUUGAUCCAUCAAGAUCGGUCGGUCAAUCUCAUGACCAGAACGAUCAUCAUUGCCGAGAUCGAUCGAUCGAUAUUGUG
rnacentral:lncRNA from 1 species